CACCGGGGCGUGGCCGAAGGAAAGGGAAGAAUCUUGGGAUACCGCCCACCGAGAUGGGCUGCCUGCCCUUUCAAAUGGAUUCUCACAUCCCUGAGGGUACCAGCUUGUGUGUCCAGGGGGACCCCAGGCCACAGAAUGCCCGGAGCCUCCAUUCUACUGUACCAUCUUGUGGAUAAAGCUAGAUGACUCUAAGUGCACUUAAGACACAUCAAAUUAAAGCGGGAGCUCCCAAGGGCAGAGACCAGAUCUGAUUCAUCUGUGAGCCUCCAGUGGCCCAGCAGAGAACUGAGCACACAGCGGAUGCCCUUGGAAUAGUAAUAACGGUAAUAAUAGCAACAGUAAUAGCUAAUACCUACAGCACUGAGGAUAUGGCAGGCACUGCUCUAAGUGCUUGACAUGUAUUAAUCUAGUUAGUCCUCACCACAGCCCUAUGAUGUGGAUAUUAUUGCCCCCAUUUUACAACUGAGUCAACAGGCACAGGGAGGUUAAAAGCCUUGCCCCAAGUCACAAAGCUCGUGAGUGGUAGAGCGGGUGUAUUCGCUUAGCUAGUCUGGCUCCACAUCCCACAUUCAUGUUACAGUGCCCAUUUAACUGAAUGUUUAUUAAAUGAAUGAAUGAAUGAAUCAGUGAACUUGCUCAAGACCAUAUUUAAGAAGUCUGUUUAAUAACAGCAAAAGAAUAUGCUCCGGCUCCAAUAUUAAGUGAAAACAUCAGCAGUGAAAUAUUACACGUAAUUUGACUGCAAUUAGGGGUGCAUAAGGAAAAGACUGUCAAGAACAAGUAUAUUCCACAAUCCCACAAGCACUAUUCUGGGUGAUUUCUGAUUUCAUUUCUCUAUCCUUGAAAUUUUCUACAUUAAAGAAACUAUUAUCCUUAUCAUGAAUUAGAAAAGAAACAAAUCUUUAUUAUGGAAAAUGGAAGUCUAUGGACAGGCUUAUAAAUCUCCCUGAAAUCCUUCCACUUUUGUUCUUUUUUUGUUUCAUCUUUUUACUUUCAAGCUUUCUGUUUUAGUUGGGUCUCUUCUAUUUAGCAUAUAGUACAGUUUAUUUUUUUUAUUCAAUCAGAUCAUUUUUUUCUUUUAGUGGGCGAGCUUAUCCAAUUUAUAGUUGUCAUUUUAUUUUAUUUGCAUUUAAAAAAUAAAUUUGAUAUGUGAUCUGGGUUUUC